rnacentral:siRNA from 1 species
GUGCAUGGGCGAGUUUGUGUGC